UACGUAGGUGGCAAGCGUUAUCCGGAAUUAUUGGGCGUAAAGCGCGCGCAGGUGGUUUCUUAAGUCUGAUGUGAAAGCCCACGGCUCAACCGUGGAGGGUCAUUGGAAACUGGGAGACUUGAGUGCAGAAGAGGAAAGUGGAAUUCCAUGUGUAGCGGUGAAAUGCGUAGAGAUAUGGAGGAACACCAGUGGCGAAGGCGACUUUCUGGUCUGUAACUGACACUGAGGCGCGAAAGCGUGGGGAGCAAACAGGAUUAGAAAC
rnacentral:rRNA from 1 species